rnacentral:ncRNA from 1 species
ACAAACGCGAUGAAGCAAACUAGUAAACUUACCCAAUCAGCUACAGAGAGCUGCCGGCCGGUGCAAGGCAGUGCGAACGGGGAGUCGAACUCAUUGCCGAGCGGAAAGGCUGAAAGAAGGUUAGUAGGCCGCUACGGGAACUCCCGUUACAGAGCAUGGAUAUCGCGAAAAUGCCGUAUCCGAGAGGGCGCCUGAUUUCAGGCGAAGCAGAGUGGUACCGCGGAAGGAUAUAUACGCCUUUCGUCUCUUAG